GAUGAAGAACGCAGCGAAAUGCGAUAAGUAAUGUGAAUUGCAGAAUUCAGUGAAUCAUCGAAUCUUUGAACGCACAUUGCGCCCGCCAGUAUUCUGGCGGGCAUGCCUGUUCGAGCGUCAUUUCAACCAUCAAGCCCCAGGCUUGUGUUGGGGACCUGCGGCUGCCGCAGGCCCCGAAAACCAGUGGCGGGCUCGCUGUCACACCGGGCGUAGUAGAUUUUAUCUCGCUCAGGGCGUGCUGCGGGUUCCGGCCGUUAAAAAGCCUUUUUUACCCAAGGUUGACCUCGGAUCAGGUAGGAAGACCCGCUGAACUUAAGCAUAUCAAUAAGCGGAGGA
rnacentral:misc_RNA from 1 species